GGAAAAAUGCCACAAGACCAUGUUAAAAAUACAAUUUUUAUUGGAGCUAGUCUUUAAAGCUCUUAAUGGUCUUGCCCCAGAUCACGUAAUAAGUGAUUUCUAGAUUUCUGCUAACCAGAAUCGACUUGAUGGGUCCAGAUCAUGACAGAAACACUGCUAUCAGACCUGAACCGUGUUCAAUGUCAACUUUUUGAAUGGCUUUAAAUACUCAAAAAUUAGUUGCAUCUUAUUUUCUUUUGCUUGUUUACUUUAAUUGUUAUGUCUUUUAUGUAUUGUACUGCCUUUUGUUCUUGAUUUGCUCCAGUUGUAAUUAUCCUUUCAUCUCUCACUAUUUCAAAGCCCUUUGGCAGCCUGAAGGCGUUGCAAACAUCUGUAUGAAUAAAGAUUCAGUCACUUAUAUUGUGGGCAUGUGAACAGACUCAGGAAUGCCCCCGAGGAAAGUAUCCGUGAUUUCCAGAAAUCAUAAACUUUGACUGUUAAAUUGUAACUGAACCUGUUGAUCCGUGGAUCAAGCUCUCACUUUAGUGAACUACGGUUACUUCCUUUACUGAAAAACCCCGCGAUGUCACAGUGGAUGGCAGGCAGCGUGGGUGGAGCGUGUUUGCUUUCCAAUUCCUUGAUGCCACAAUAAUAGUUCUUGUGUCCUGAGGCAGAGGCAGUUUGUUUUCCUGCCAGCUGGAGUGUUUGGAGAAACCACCAGCGGCAGCACCAACCAGCUACAGGCAGCUCCGAGCCCAAAUACAACGUCAGAGGGGCAAGAACUUCCCUUCGAUGACGCCUCACCUCUUCUCUGGAGCUGGUGCCCCGCUGGGGUCUGUCUUCCAGGCUGGUGAUGACCGAGGCUUGACGACUUCCUGUGAGAGACAGUUGAGAUCAUCUAUGAGGCUUUGAAGCCACACAGGAUCUCCUUCUUCAGGUUGGUCAUCUCUCCAGCUGCAGAUGAAGGACGGAGCAGACGGGGGUUAGAAGAAGGAUUGUGUGAGGAAACCACCACGAGUGAAGCAUUCAUGAG